rnacentral:rRNA from 1 species
UCCAGACUCCUACGGGAGGCAGCAGUGGGGAAUAUUGCACAAUGGGCGAAAGCCUGAUGCAGCAACGCCGCGUGAGCGAUGAAGGCCUUCGGGUCGUAAAGCUCUGUCCUCAAGGAAGAUAAUGACGGUACUUGAGGAGGAAGCCCCGGCUAACUACGUGCCAGCAGCCGCGGUAAUACGUAGGGGGCUAGCGUUAUCCGGAAUUACUGGGCGUAAAGGGUGCGUAGGUGGUUUCUUAAGUCAGAGGUGAAAGGCUACGGCUCAACCGUAGUAAGCCUUUGAAACUGGGGAACUUGAGUGCAGGAGAGGAGAGUGGAAUUCCUAGUGUAGCGGUGAAAUGCGUAGAUAUCACGCAGAACCCCGAUUGCGAAGGCAGCACGCCGGCUGCCGACUGACGCUGAAGCACGAAAGCGUGGGGAUCGAACAGGAUUAGAUACCCCCGUACCA